AAGACUUACUUUCAGGGAUCAUUUCUAUAGUUUGUUACUAGAGAAGUUUCUCUGAUUAUGUAGAGCACCAGAAACCACGAGGAGGAGGCACAGCGUCCUUUCCUGAGCGUGAAGCCAACUUUUGGUGUUGCUUCGCUGCAACUGCCAUUUGCCAUUGUUGAUAGUUCUUGCUUUCCUUCAGGGGAGCAAGAGGGAGAGGAAGCAGUUUGAGUGGU
rnacentral:snoRNA from 1 species